UUGGCUUAGAAGCAGCCAUCAUUUAAAGAAAGCGUAAUAGCUCACUGGUCGAGUCGGCCUGCGCGGAAGAUGUAACGGGGCUAAACCAUGCACCGAAGCUGCGGCAGCGACGCUUAUGCGUUGUUGGGUAGGGGAGCGUUCUGUAAGCCUGCGAAGGUGUGCUGUGAGGCAUGCUGGAGGUAUCAGAAGUGCGAAUGCUGACAUAAGUAACGAUAAAGCGGGUGAAAAGCCCGCUCGCCGGAAGACCAAGGGUUCCUGUCCAA
rnacentral:rRNA from 1 species